UCCUCGACCUCUGAUGGCUUCUACAUCUCCCAAGAAAAAUAUAUUCAGGAUCUUCUUGCUCACGCUGCUCUCCCAAGAAAAAUAUAUGUUCAGCUUCGUGCCUCUGAUGGUGACCCUCUUCCUAAUCCCACUCGCUAUCGUCACCUCGUUGGCAGCCUUGUCUAUCUUGCUGUUACGCGUCCUGACAUCUCCUAUCCUGUCCACAUCCUGAGUCAGUUUGUUUCAGCCCCCAACUUUGUCCACUAUAGUCACCUCCUCCGUGUUCUACGAUAUCUUCGUGGCAUGAUCUCUCAACGCCUUUUCUUUCCCCGCUCCAUCUCUCUUGAGCUCCAGGCUUACUCUGAUGCUACCUGGGCUAAUGAUCCCUCUGAUCAACACUCGUUGUCUGCUUACUAUGUUUUUCUUGGUGGCUCUCUGAUUGCCUGGAAGACAAAGAAACAGACUGCAGUUUCUCGCUCGAUUAUAGAGGCUGAGUUGCGAGCCAUGGCUAUGUCGAUGGCUGAGGUGAUUUGGUUGCGGUGGUUACUUGAGAACUUUGGUGUGUGUGCUACUACCUCGACU
rnacentral:rRNA from 1 species